CACCACGAGAUUUGAAAGAGUUGGACAGACCUGGUUUCAGAUAUCCGUUAUUAAUGUGUAAGUAUUCAAAAGAUCCAGAAGGUGGCAGUAUAAUAAUGUUUUCCUAAAUUUUGGACCCAGAUUAUCUGAAAAUAUAUAGAUUGUUCCCAUUUUUAUUUUCUCUUUUCUUAAAGUGAUGCACGAUCAUAAAAUGCAAAGCACUAAGGAACAAGAGGAGGAAACCUCCACACACUUACAGAAAGAGGAACCGUGAGGGGAUGGAAUGUGCUCAGCUGGCAAGAAGAACCUGUCAGGCUGUAAUAGCAGUAUAAAGGAAAAUAAAAAAUCUCAGGAGAUUCAACCUCCUUAUGCCAAAGGGAAAGUAAAGCCUGGAGGCUGAGUCAUGCAACGCCCUCUUCCAAAUGAAUAGCUGUUACUAGCACUAUGCAUCUGCCAGAUUCCUGCAGAAAGGUAAAAACCCCAGGCACCUGGGAAUGACAGCCCUCACAGAUCAUUCAUAAGUAAAUUCUUUUCUGGCCUCCCAUAAACAAGGAAACGCCAAUUGUAACUUUCGAUUUGCCAUCUAAGUUUAGCUCCUAAAACUAAAGUCUGUUCAAUUCUACACUGAUAAUGUCAAUUGCAAGCCUAUCUUUUCAGAUGUGGAACAAAGACAAGAAGAGAUCAAUCAUUCCUCCACUCACCCAGAUUGGUCUGCAUAAUCGAUUCUUUGCUUACUCCCUUUUUUUAAUUCAGACAUUCACCUUAUCAUAUAUAAAGUGUAGAUUUACUGGGCACUAGCUAAAGUCUCACAAGAAUGUAGCCAUUUGCCUUACUGCCUACCUGUCCCUCUUCCUAGAUGCUUUCGCCUCCUGUAUAAAUGUAGAAAUACUAAACUUCCCGAAAACAUCUUUGGAAAGAACAGCCACAGAUGUGUCUGUAGCUUGUGCUUUUCUCAGGCACACCAUAAAGCUGGCUUAAUAAAC
rnacentral:lncRNA from 10 species